CCUUCAAAAAACCUAAGCUGUUGUUGUUCAAAAAUUGUAUAUCCCCAAUUCAAUUUUGGGUAGUUUAGGGUCACCAAUAUACAGAUGUAAAGUAAAAUUCGAUUAUUCAGCUCUGUAUAAAAAGUUUGUUGUUGUUGGAAAGCUUUUUCAAGGGGAUGUCAAAGCAUAAAAAUUUAGAAGUCGUUAGGAUGAUUUUUGUUUUCCAUCGUUAUUUUACGUUUUAAUCGUCAAUUUUAACUCGUGGAAGGUACGUACAAUAAUGUAACUUAAUUCAUAAAUGAAAUUGUUCGUUUUUAGGGAAGAUGCUCACUCAAUUUUUUUUGUUCUACAGCCGCCGGAAGAAAUCAUUCUUCGCACUAAAGAGAGUGCAAUUUUCGCACAUCUCCGAAAAGUUCCUCGCCCGUAAAUCGGAAAGAUCCACCGUUUAGUGCUCGAAAUAUGUUAAGGGCUUUGCAGGAGAAAAAUUACCCCUGGUUGGAGCUACCCAAUGUGCCUAAUGACACAUCCGGGGGAAUACAAUCUACAAAUAUACCGUUCUUUAUGAGCUGCUCUAAAACACCGCUGCUUCCUUGCUCUACUGCAUCCGCCCAAAGAACCUGGGCAAGCUGGAAACGGUCCGAAAUCGCCGAAAGCAACAUGUAACAUCCCGCUCGUUUCCCUUGAGGGUGAACCCGAUGAUAGCGGCUAUUCUUCAGACAAGGAGGAUCGGGCGGAUCAGCUUCUUCGAUAAUGGUGUGAGCACUGGAGGCCAAGUUCCAAAUGUUACGCUCUCUUUUAGUGACGUUAAGGAUGCGACGAAAAGCAGCCGUUAACAUUAUUCCGCGGGUAGAAAUAUUGGCCAACAGAACCAUAGAGCUGGAAGCUGGAACGUUGGCGGGAUAAGGAGCAAGCUAAUUUUGUCGUUCCCAAAAAGUAGCCAAAAUCUAACGGUAGUCAUCUCUCCAACAAGAAUGCCAAUUCCGAAAAAAAAACAGUAAUUCGACGAUUUUAACGAGCCUACCAAGCAGCUCAAGAUGGCCAGUUUG